GCGGUAAGCGCGCCCCAGGCCUGGCCUGGCUGCUCGGGAGCGCGCCCCGGAGGCCCGCCCUGUUUUCGUCCGGCGGGACCGCUCCCGACGCGGCGGCCAGCACUAGCCGGCCCAGGCAAGCAAGUCACCACUUAGAGGACUCAGCAGAUGAAUAAGGAAUUCAUCUUAUUACCAGCGGCAUUCAAACAUUUGUGAAAUUUAAGAAUUGUAACUGCAGUUCUGAUUCGUGGAUCUUCAAAGAAAGUAGAGAAGAUUUCAAGAUUUACAAAGGUGCAGGUUUGUGCAGAUUUGAAGACGUAUCUUAUGAACUUGUAAAACAGACGUGUUUGAGAUGUGGUGGUUUCAGCAAGGUCUCAGUUUCCUUCCUUCUGCCCUAGUAAUUUGGACAGCUGCUGCUUUCAUAUUUUCGUACAUUACUGCUAUAACACUCCGCCAUGUUGACCCUGCUUUGCCUUAUAUCAGUGACACCGGUACACUGCCUCCAGAAAAAUGCUUGUUUGGGGCAAUGUUAAAUAUCGCUGCAGUUUUAUGCAUUGCUACAAUUUAUGUUCGUUAUAAGCAAGUUCAUGCUCUGAAUCCUGAAGAGAAUCGUAUCAUCAGAAUAAACAAGGCUGGCCUUGUACUUGGAUUACUGAGUUGUUUUGGACUUUCUAUCGUGGCAAACUUCCAGAAAACAGACUUUUUUCCUGUACACAUAUGUGGAGCUGUGCUCACCUUUGGUAUGGGCUCGUUAUAUAUGUUGGUUCAGACCAUCCUUUCCUACCAAAUGCAGCCCAAAAUUCAUGGCAAACAAGUCUUCUGGAUUAGACUAUUGCUGGUUAUCUGGUGUGGAGUAAGUGCAUUUAGCAUGCUGACUUCCUCAUCAUUGUUGCACAGUGGCAAUUAUGGCAAAGAUGUAGACCAGAAACUCCAUUGGAACCCCGAGGACAAAGGUUAUGUGCUUCACAUGAUCACCACUGCAGCAGAAUGGUCUUUGUCAUUCUCCUUCUUUGGUUUUUUCUUGACUUACAUCCGUGAUUUUCAGAAAAUUUCUUUACAAGUGGAAGCCAAUUUACAUGGAUUAACCCUCUAUGACACUGCUCCUUGCCCUGUUAACAAUGAACGAACACGGCUACUUUCCAGAGAUUUAUGAUGAAGGGAUAAAACAUUUCUGUGAUGAUUAUGAUUCUCAGGGAUUGGGGAAAAUGUUCAUGAAAGUUACUUACUCUGCUCUGAAAUUUUCAACCAGUUAAUCAAGGCUGACAGUGACUUUGAUGAACACUGAUAAACAAGAGACAUAAAUAAAGCCGUUUGAUAAGUUAUUUUAAAGGAUAUCAUCAAGAAGAGCAUGGGAAAACAUUUAUGCCUAUACUUGUUUUUAAUCCCAGAAAAUAAAACCAAAGGACUACAACAUUGUAGAUUUUUUUCCUACUUAUGAAAAACAACCAGAAGUGUACCAAGCAGUCUACAAAAUCCAGCCUUUCAUAUUUUCUAAAUCAUCGUAAAGCGUGUUUUGUUUGGAGCACUUUUAUAAGAGACAUUUUCCAGGACCCCGGAUACUCAGCAUUGCUCAGCAGCUCCUUUAGAAUUGGGUUUUGAAGUAAUAGUUUUACCAUAUCACUACAUUUCUUACAGUCUUUAUAAAAUUUUUUUCUUCUGGAAUCCACUUAUUAAGGGGAGCAGACCUGAAUUCAUGUAAGCACUUUCAUUGCUUAGGCUUUGCACAAGUGAUUCUGCAGGUGUUGAUUUAAUUCCUGCCAUAAGGCCAAAUACUAUGCCAACUAGUCUGUCACACAUCCUUGCAAGAGGUUCAUGAAGCUUAGUCUCUGAAAUGGGAUUUUAAUCACUUCAUGCAUGAGAGAAGUAGCUAUAGGUAAGUUUACUUCAGUUGUGAUCUACACAAAACAAGGGCUAGUGUUCAUACAUAAGGCUGAAAGGUUGUGAGUAAUAGCAGAUAUGAUUAAUAGAAGUUACCACAGACUGCUGUCAAGAGCUUCUUAGAUUUUCAUUUAUAUAGAAAUUAUAAUUAUUUGUGAAAGUAGUCUUGAAUGAGCAAAUACUAACCCUUUUAAACAAGAUGUGAUCUUUGUAGGAAGGACAAAAUCAAUCCAAAGGGGGGAGAGGGGGAGAAAACUAGGUACAAAAUAGUUGUGAUAUUUGUAUCCACAAAAACAACUUUCUCUCUCUCUCUGUCAUGCAAGUGAUUGGAUAGCUUCUACUUGGAUCCAUAUCUGUGCAGAUAAAGAAUGGUUUACAGAUCCCAGAGAAAAUUCAAAAGAAGAAAAUGAUCAUCCCGAAGGUUCCCAGUGACUGGUUCUCAAAAGAAUCUUUGAAGAAGAUUAACAGGGUUUAUCAUUUUAGAAGAAAUGAUCCCAUGGCCAAAAUAAAAGAUGGUGACAAGUUUAACGUAUAAGAGGGAGCACUUUAAAAGAAAAUGGUUAUCUGGUGGAAUUAGAAAUCUCAAUUAGGAAUAAUUUUCUAGAUAUAAGACUGUGUAAAUAAUACUGCUGAAUGAAGACUUCUGGGCUAAUAAGACAGAAAGUGGAAUAAAAUACUAUUUACAUAGGUCACACAGUAGUGACCAUGGGAGAUACUUCAAUAAAUACCGAUGCAUUGAAAUUUGACAUCACUAGAAAAAUAUUUGGAUACAAGCCAUGAAAAAUUUCUUUCAUGCCUCUGAAAAUCAUAGUGCAACCACACCUGAGAAACACUGGUGGGUCCUGACUCCUGUACAUCAAGGAAGCUGAAAUUCAAGUUGUGAAGGACCACAUAUGCAAAACUGCAUUUCCCAGCCUCCCUUUCAAUUAAGAAUUGCAUGAGACUGAAUAUUAGCCACUGAAAUAAAAUAUCCAGCAUGCAGCAAGAAAUUAUAAGACCUUCAAGGAGCAGAGACAUUUGAUUUGAUUCAGAGAGAAGUCAAUAGAAGCGAACUCAGAGAUUGCCCAGAUAUUGUAGUUAUCAGAAGUAGAUUAACUAUGAUAAAUUGCUGAAGGAGGUAGUAAAAAAGGGUGGAAAACAUGCAUGAAAAGAUGGGGAAUUUCAGCAAAUACAUGUAAACUAUGGGAAACAAAAAGAAAAUUCUAGAAUUGAAUAUGAUAUAACUACAUAGGAAAUGAUUUGAUAAACUUGGAAGACAGGACAAUUGAAAAUAAAAAACUGAAAAUCAAAGAGAAAAGGGAGUGAAAAUAAAAAGGACAGAGUAUUUGAGUUUUGAAGGCAAAAUCAAAUGGCCUUGCAUCUUGUAAUUGAGUUUCACAAGGUGAAGAAAAAGAGAAGGGCAUGGAAGAAAUGUUUGAAGAGAUAUUGACAGAGAACAUAUCCACAACUGAUGAAAAUUAACACAGAAAAUCAACAAAAAAGUGAGACUUUGGAAAUGAUUAAAAUUGAUAAACACCUAGCAGGAUUAAUAUGCUGAGCUGAAUAGUAUUCUCUCAAAAGCCAUGUCCAUCCAGAACUUUAGAAUGUGACCUUAUUUGGAAGUAGGGUUAUUGUAGAUAUACUUAGUUAUGACAUCAUACUAUAUCAUAUUAAAUCCAAUGAUUUAGUGUCCUUAUAAGAAGACCAUAAAGAGACACAGAAACAGAAGGCCAAGUGAAGAUAAGGCAGGGAUUGGACUAAUGCAUCCUCAAGCCAAAGAUUGCUAGCCACCAGAAACUAGUAAGAGGUGAGGAGCAAUCCUCUCCUACAGCCUUUAAAAGGCUCCUUGAUUUUUAAAGGAAAAUGUGACAGAGUACAUUUCUAUUAUUUUCAAGCCACUCAGUUUAUGGUUAUUUGUUAUAAUAGCUUAGGAAACAAAAAAAACCUGAUCAAGUAAAAGAGAAAACAGGUUAGUAAUAUCAAGAAUGAAAAGUGAGACCAAUACAGAACAUGUUGACAUUAAAGAUAAUAAGAGCAUGUAAUGGACAACUUUAUACCAAUAAAUUCAACAACUAAGAUGAAAUGGA